rnacentral:rRNA from 1 species
CCUACGGGAGGCAGCAGUGGGGGAUAUUGCACAAUGGGGGGAACCCUGAUGCAGCGACGCCGCGUGGGUGAAGGAGCGUUUCGGCGCGUAAAGCCCUAUCGGCAGGGAAGAAGAUGACGGUACCUGACCAAGAAGCCCCGGCUAACUACGUGCCAGCAGCCGCGGUAAUACGUAGGGGGCAAGCUGUAUCCGGAUUUACUGGGUGUAAAGGGGGCGCAGACGGCAAUGCAAGCCAGGAGUGAAAGCCCGGGGCCCAACCCCGGGACUGAUCUUGGAACUGGAGGGCGGGAGUACAGGAGGGGCAGGCGGAAUGCCUGGUGUAGCGGUGAAAUGCAUAGAUAUUAGGAGGAACACCAGGUGCGAAGGCGGCUUACUGGACUGUAACUGACGUUGAGGCUCGAAAGCGUGGGGAGCGAACAGGAUUAGAUACCCCAGUAGUC